rnacentral:rRNA from 1 species
GGCUUUAAUUCGAGGCUACGCGAAGAACCUUAUCCUAGAUUNGACNUGCUUGAGAAUCCCUAUGAAAGUAGAGAGUGCCCUUCGGGGAGCUCUUGCACAGGUGCUGCAUGGCUGUCGUCAGCUCGUGUCGUGAGAUGUCGGGUUAAGUCCCUUAACGAGCGAAACCCUUAUCUCUAGUUGCCAGCGGGUAAUGCCGGGGACUCUAGAGAGACUGCCGGUGUCAAACCGGAGGAAGGUGGGGAUGACGUCAAGUCC